GCCAACUUGCGAAAGUGAGCGAAUCCCAAAAAGUGCGUCGUAGUCCGGAUUGGAGUCUGCAACUCGACUCCAUGAAGUCGGAAUCGCUAGUAAUCGUGGAUCAGAAUGCCACGGUGAAUACGUUCCCGGGCCUUGUACACACCGCCCGUCACACCAUGGGAGUGGGCUGCAAAAGAAGUAGGUAGUUUAACCUUCGGGGGGACGCUUACCACUUUGUGGUUCAUGACUGGGGUGAAGUCGUAACAAGGUAGCGCUAGGGGAACCUGGCGCUGGAUCACCUCCUUAAACGAUGAU
rnacentral:rRNA from 1 species